rnacentral:rRNA from 1 species
UACGAAGGGGGCUAGCGUUGCUCGGAAUGACUGGGCGUAAAGGGCGCGUAGGCGGAUGGCUUUGUCGGGCGUGAAAUUCCAGGGCUUAACCUUGGGGCUGCGUUCGAGACGGGUUGUCUUGAGUUCGGAAGAGGGUCGUGGAAUUCCCAGUGUAGAGGUGAAAUUCGUAGAUAUUGGGAAGAACACCGGUGGCGAAGGCGGCGACCUGGUCCGAGACUGACGCUGAGGCGCGAAAGCGUGGGGAG